GUGUCAGCCGCCGCGGUAAUACAGAGGUCCCAAGCGUUGUUCGGAUUCAUUGGGCGUAAAGGGUGCGUAGGCGGCAGGGUAAGUUGGAUGUGAAAUCUUGGGGCUUAACCUCAAAAUUGCAUUCAAUACUGCCUUGCUCGAGUUCUGUAGAGGAGAUUGGAAUUUACGGUGUAGCAGUGAAAUGCGUAGAUAUCGUAAGGAACGCCAGUGGCGAAAGCGAAUCUCUGGGCAGCAACUGACGCUGAGGCACGAAGGCCAGGGGAGCAAACGGGAUUAGAAACCCCAGUAGUCC
rnacentral:rRNA from 1 species